rnacentral:lncRNA from 1 species
AUGGUACCUAUAAUUAAACAAAUAAAUGAAGAAACAAAUGUGGUCAAAGUGGGGAAUAAUGUUAUGCAGUUAGAAAACAUUUUUGAUGAAAUUACAAUUAGUUCCGAUUUAGUAAACGAUACUGUACAGACUAGUUCUACUAUUAUCGCACCAACAGAAGAGGUUGAUGAAUUAAUAACUAAAAUAGCAGAAGAACAUGCUAUAAAAUUAGAUGGGCAGUUGGGUCCUGUUAGUGCAAUUAAUCAGCAAUUGGAAGAGCUUAAUAAUAUGAGUGAAAGGAUUAAAAAUUUAAAAUAAUAAUUAUAAUAAUAAUGAAGAUAUAAUAUUACAGACUAGUUGUUUUUACUUUUACGUAUUUAUUCUUACCUACAGUUAAGAACAUUUAUGUUUUAUCGGAUGAUUUAUUAUUAUUAUUAUUAUUAUUUUAUUUUUGUUUAUUUUUGUUUAUUUACCCAUUUUCUUAUUACCCUUAAAAUGGAAUUUUUAUAGUACACUCCAAUGGAUGUCAUAUUUUUCGUUUGUUUUUGUAAAAAAAUAAAUAUAUCGGAGUUUGUUGAUAUAUAUAAUGC